rnacentral:rRNA from 1 species
GACGAACGCUGGCGGCGUGCCUAAUACAUGCAAGUUGAGCGAUGAAGAUUGGUGCUUGGACCAAUUUGAAGAGCAGCGAACGGGUGAGUAACGCGUGGGGAAUCUGCCUUUGAGCGGGGGACAACAUUUGGAAACGAAUGCUAAUACCGCAUAACAACUUUAAACAUAAGUUUUAAGUUUGAAAGAUGCAAUUGCAUCACUCAAAGAUGAUCCCGCGUUGUAUUAGCUAGUUGGUGAGGUAAAGGCUCACCAAGGCGAUGAUACAUAGCCGACCUGAGAGGGUGGUCGGCCACAUUGGGACUGUGACACGGCCCAAACUCCUACGGGAGGCAGCAGUAGGGAAUCUUCGGCAAUAGACGAAAGUCUGACCGAGCAACGCCGCGUGAGUGAAGAAGGUUGUCGGAUCGUAAAACUCUGUUGGUAGAGAAGAACGUUGGUGAGAGUGGAAAGCUCAUCAAGUGACGGUAACUACCCAGAAAGGGACGGCUAACUACGUG